UGCUUAGUUGCUAAAUCAGUUGUCUAGCAUACAAGAGUCGUGGGUUCGAAUCCCACCUCAGCAU
rnacentral:tRNA from 1 species